GACGAACGCUGGCGGCGUGCUUAACACAUGCAAGUCGAACGAAAAGACGGAAAGAGCUUGCUCUUUUCAGAAUUGAGUGGCAAACGGGUGAGUAACACGUAAACAACCUGCCUUCAGGAUGGGGACAACAGACGGAAACGACUGCUAAUACCGAAUAAGUUCCAAGAGCCGCAUGGCCCAUGGAAGAAAAGGUGGCCUCUACCUGUAAGCUAUCGCCUGAAGAGGGGUUUGCGUCUGAUUAGCUGGUUGGAGGGGUAACGGCCCACCAAGGCGACGAUCAGUAGCCGGUCUGAGAGGAUGAACGGCCACACUGGAACUGAGACACGGUCCAGACUCCUACGGGAGGCAGCAGUGGGGAAUCUUCCGCAAUGGGCGAAAGCCUGACGGAGCAACGCCGCGUGAGUGAUGACGGCCUUCGGGUUGUAAAACUCUGUGAUCCGGGACGAAAAGGCAGAGUGCGAAGAACAAACUGCAUUGACGGUACCGGAAAAGCAAGCCACGGCUAACUACGUGCCAGCAGCCGCGGUAAUACGUAGGUGGCAAGCGUUGUCCGGAAUUAUUGGGCGUAAAGCGCGCGCAGGCGGCUUCCCAAGUCCCUCUUAAAAGUGCGGGGCUUAACCCCGUGAUGGGAAGGAAACUGGGAAGCUGGAGUAUCGGAGAGGAAAGUGGAAUUCCUAGUGUAGCGGUGAAAUGCGUAGAGAUUAGGAAGAACACCGGUGGCGAAGGCGACUUUCUGGACGAAAACUGACGCUGAGGCGCGAAAGCGUGGGGAGCAAACAAGAUUAGAUACCCUGGUAGUCCACGCCG
rnacentral:rRNA from 1 species